AGAGUUUGAUCAUGGCUCAGGAUGAACGCUGGCGGCGUGCCUAACACAUGCAAGUCGAGCGAUUCUCUUCGGAGAAGAGCGGCGGACGGGUGAGUAACGCGUGGGUAACCUGCCCUGUACACACGGAUAACAUACCGAAAGGUAUGCUAAUACGAGAUAAUAUACUUUUAUCGCAUGGUAGAAGUAUCAAAAGCUUUUGCGGUACAGGAUGGACCCGCGUCUGAUUAGCUAGUUGGUAAGGUAACGGGCUUACCAAGGCGACGAUCAGUAGCCGACCUGAGAGGGUGAUCGGCCACAUUGGAACUGAGACACGGUCCAAACUCCUACGGGAGGCAGCAGUGGGGAAUAUUGCACAAUGGGCGAAAGCCUGAUGCAGCAACGCCGCGUGAGCGAUGAAGGCCUUCGGGUCGUAAAGCUCUGUCCUCAAGGAAGAUAAUGACGGUACUUGAGGAGGAAGCCCCGGCUAACUACGUG
rnacentral:rRNA from 1 species